rnacentral:misc_RNA from 1 species
GUCGUAACAAGGUUUCCGUAGGUGAACCUGCGGAAGGAUCAUUACCACACCAAAAAUACUUUCCACGUGAACUGUCUUACGAGAUUCGCGCCGUGACGUGUGUUGUCGCUGUGUGUGCUGUAUUUAUAUAGUGCGCAUGGUGUCGACUGCGUGGGUCGGCUGAUCGAAGGUCGCGUUGUGCUUUAUUGCGCAUUGUGGCUGACUUAUUCUUUCAAACCCAUUUCUUUAUUACUGAUUCAUACUGUGAGGACGAAAGUCUUUGCUUUUACUAGAUAACAACUUUCAGCAGUGGAUGUCUAGGCUC